AUCAGGUUGCUUCAAACAAUGGCAUCAUCUUUUAAUUUAGAAUAGCAUUUGGAUCAGGGUAAAAUUUCCGCCCCGAUAACCGGUUCCUGGAGUACUUCCAAGGCACUGCAUGUAGGAGCGGCAUUCUAACACUGGGUGGAGACAGCACCGCUUGGAUGCUCCGGGAGGCUCGCGGGAUGCAAGCCGGCAGAGUCCGCCUACAGCCUCUUAAGGGGCUGGCUUGUCCGCCUCGUGCUAAGGAUCCCCUUUCCGACGAGCAGUGCUAGGGCCAGCUGGACGGCCAUUCUAGAGCGCUCGUUAGUGGUCAAGCCACAAUGGAGAAGGGGCUUCGGUUGGAGAUUUGGUUCUGUUUCUUUGUUUUUGGGGGGUGGACAUUAGAAUCAAUUUGGCAAAAACCUGAAACGCAGUCUAAAUGAUAGCUAAAUAUCCUUAAUUCAUUCUAAACAACAUCAGUUAAGAACCAGCGUAUCUCUGCCUCCUGAAAAAUACUGGAACCCUGCCUGAAAUGAAUAUGGGCCACUUCAUCAAUUGGGAAAUGGCUGAAUCAAUUGUGGUAUGUGAAGGGAAUGGAAUAUUAUUUUUCUACAAAAAAUGAUGAACAGACUGAUUUUAGAAUGACCUGGAAAGAUUUAAAUGAACUGACACUGAAUGAAACUUCAAACAGAACCAAAAAUACAGUGUACACAGCAACAGCAACAUUAUGUAACGAUCAACUAUUAAAGACUUGGUUCUUCCCAAUUCAAUGAUCCAAGGCAAUCCCAAUAAACAGACAGAAAACACCAUCUGCAUCCAGAAAUAAAACUAAGACUGAAUGUAAAUCAACAAA